UUGCAAAUGAAAUGGGAUUUCUUUUUUACGUAUCAAAUGCUGGAACCAAGCCUGCGUCCCUGUAAGGUACCUGGUAAGAAGCAGCUAGUGUGGCCCCGGGAGCCAUCUUCUGUCUUUUUCUCCCUCACAUCUCCCUGCCACCUCACAUCAUCUCCCAGAUGAAGCAUACACACCCAUUUCCCCUUUGUAAUAAUUAUUACGAGUGCCAGAGUGUUUAUGGAAAAUUAGCUUGGUCUGUGUCUUCUAUCUCUAAGGACCCAAUCGUGUCUGGCAAACAGACUCCCAGAUGCGAGGCCAGGCUCCGUCAGCCAAACAAAGGGGAGGAAAUGAUCCAGGAAAUUCUGACAAAGAAAGCAAUUACUUGGUCUGACAUACUUGGGCCGCUCCUGCCAAGACUGGGUCUCUUUGUUGCCAUUACCUGAGGGAUGGUCUGCGCAGACGUGGUUUCAUUAUUUGUCUUAGCAGUUGUUUAACUGUGUCAGCUCUCGCUAGCCUUAACUCUAGGUGUGGAAGCUGAGUUCAGCUGAGCCGCUGGGUCCUCGGGUGUUCAGCUGUUGGAACUGUGUUCUCAGACUGUCGUCUUCCCACAACAUCCUGAGCUCUUCAGAGAAGCCCGUGAGCCCCAGAGGAGUGUCUUUGGCCUUUUAUUGAUAGAAUUCCAGGACCCGGUGAGAAACAGAAGGAGGUUGGCUUGGCAGCAGAAGGCAUAUCUGGAAUGCGCCAAAUUAUGCCUUGCAGGUAGCUGACUCCCAUGGGUGGAACUGGGGGGACAGGUCCAGUGUCACAAGCUCCCUAAGCAAGAUAGAUAGCAUCUCCCUGCUGGGGCUUGGAAUGUUGGCAACCAGUGAGGAUGUCAGAGGAGAAAGGUGCACAAGCCAGAUGCACCUCUGGGAUAGCUGUCUCUUGUGACAUCUUCCAGGGGUGACAAUGGCAUUCCUAAGCUUUUGACAAAGAUAACAAACAUUAUAACAAACAUUCGCCCAUUCUCCCCACCCCACAAAGAGACAGAAACUGUUUCUCAGGUCCAUCUAUAGGUGGUGGCCUCUUCGUCAUUUCACAAUCGACUGGUUCCCUCCACACCCUGCAGGGUCACUCAUUAGGAGGUGACCAAAUCACCCAGGGAACAUCUUGUCUCACCAGUGAGCUCCUCUGCCUGCUCCAAGUCUCUCAUCCCCAGAGGAGGUUUUGUCCCAGCGUCUCUCUCAGGUGAGGCUUACUGGGACAAAUGGGCAGAGCAGCCUGCUUCUCUCCUUCAUGCUUUACUUUUGUUUAUGUUUCCUUCUCUUGGUCUUUGGCGAACUGGCAAGGCAUAGUGACGUCAGACCCCACAAUUUGCUUCUAAAUAAAAUUUUUUUCUUUUUUUUUUUUUUUUCUUUUUUUCGGAGCUGGGGACCGAACCCAGGGCCUUGCAUUUGCUAGGCAAGCGCUCUACCACUGAGCUAAAUCCCCAACUCUAAAUAAAUUUCUCGUGGUCAGUUUUGUCUCCCCCCCAAAGCCACUGGAAUCUCAACAGAAGUACUUUACAUCAACCGAAGUGUCACAAAGGUUCGUGAUCACCACUCUUCUGUCCGUCAGAACUGCUUUGCACUACAUCCCCAAGGAAUUGCAUGAUGAUUUAAGAUGCUGUGAAGCAGAAUGGGGUGGCAGGGGCUACACCUUUAAUCCCAGCCCUUGGGAGGCAGAGGUAGGUGGAUCUCUCUGAGUUUGAGGCUACCCUGGUCUACAGAGUGAGUUCCAGAGUGCUACACAGAGAAAUUCUGUCUCAAACAACUACAAAAACAAAAAUAAAACAGGACAAAAUAAAGUCAAUAAUAAGUAAAGACUUCCAUAAAAGGGUAGAUUAAGUGUAAUAUGAAAUUACAAUGCUAAAAUGUAAAUAUUUUAGGAAACUAUUUUCGUUACAGUUGUGGAUAACUAGCUUUGGUGUGUGUGUGUGUGUGUGUGUGUGUGUGUGUGUGUUUGUGUGUGUGUGUGUGUGUGUGUGUGUUAUGAUACUCACAUAUUACAUUUUAGUGACCUAAGCUUCAGCAAAUGUUCACUAAAUGUUACAUUGUCAGACAAGACCCGAGGGUACAAUGAGUAUACCAAGUCAAGCCUUGUCCUAGACUCCCAGUCUCCAGAGAGAAAGGAGUUCCAGUGACCAGUAAGGCCCUAGGGAAGGGACAGGCUCUGUACUCUCUAACAAAACUUGUCUUCUGCAUCUAAAUUAACUGACCUGCCUCUAGCGUUUCUCCAUUUUGCUCCAGUGAGUUUAGCAUCCCUGAAAUCACAGGCUCAGCUUCCAAUUUUCCAGACCCGAUGAUUUCCAACCAUAAGUGGACAGACUCUUUCAGGUUCUCAUCUCACAGGGAGAGAAAACAAACAAACAAACAAACAAACAAACAAACAAACAAACCAGUCCCUAAGAUUGACAGCCAAAUCCCCAUCCCCAGAUGUGCUUACGCAGUUCCCCUAGGCUUCCCAGCAUCUGGUGUAGUGUGGGCCUGGGGCCUCCAGCUUGGCUCCCUGGACCCCAGUCCCUUCCCAAGGCUCAUAGGAAACAACAUUCUCCAUUUCUGAGCAGUGCAUGGUCAGAGGUCGGAACCUGCCUGCUUCCUGCUGGCUCACGUGGCCUUACCCCAGAGCCUCCCGCAUUUGCACCAAACCACCCGGGUUUCACAUCUCUGUAGUCACAGUCUAGCUCUUGGUUGUAUGAGCUGUCCAGGUUAACUGAGUGAGAGCUCUACCCAGUCAGCAGCUUUUGUCAGCCCCAUGUUGGCUCCUAUCUUCCUGCCUGGCAAAUGUUACCACUCAGCACAUCAAUCUUCCAUGAGAAUUCAUUCCUCUUUGCUUUGUUCUCUCUGAAUCUCACCUCUAGGCCUAACUGGACAGUGCUGUAUGGGUCCCAGAAGUUUGCCCAAAUGACCACAGCAUCCCUUAGGGCUUACACAGCAGCAAGCACUGUGAUGUUUUCUUUCGGAAGCAUCUGGAACACAUAGUGAAGAAUUUGCGCAUCUGUAGUUUUGUUUUUAUGUUUUGAAACAGGGGCUCAUCUGUCCCAAGAUGGUGGUGAACCUUGCUUUUUAAAAAGGAAUGAACUUAAGCCUCUGAUCCUCCUGCCUCCACUUCCUGAGUGCUCAGAUUAUAGGCAUGUACCGUCAUGUAGUGCUAGUGGAUCAAAUCCAGGGCUUCACACAUGCCAAGUGUGGUGGUUUGAAUAUGCUUGGCCCAGGAAGUGGCACUAUUAGGAGGUGUGGCCUUAUUGGAGUGGGUGUGGCCUUGUUGGAGUGGGUGUGGCCUUGUUGGAGGAAGUGUAUCACUGUAGGGGUGGGCUUUGAGACACUUCUAGCUGAUUAGAAGACAGUUGUCUAAGGGUUUCCAUUGCUGUAAAGAGACACCAUGAUUAAGUUAACUCUUUUUUUUUUUUCUUUUCUUUUUUUCGGAGCUGGAGACCGAACCCAGGGCCUUGUGCUUGCUAGGCAAGCGCUCUACCACUGAGCUAAAUCCCCAACCCCUAAGGUAACUCUUUUAAAGAACAUUAUUUCAUUGGAGCUAGCUUACAGGUUCUGAGGUUCAGGUAUCAUCAGGGCAGGAAGCAUGGCAGCAUCCAGGCAGAUAUGGUGCUGGAGGAGUUCUUUCCCCCACAUUUGUCAAGUGACUCGGUAACCUCGUAGGGCUGGGCUCUCAAUUUUCUUAAUGUUGUGACCUUUUAGUACAGUUCCUAAUGUUGUGGUGAGCCCCAGCCAUAAUACUAUUCCAUGGCUACGACAUAACUGUCACUUUCUACUGUUACGAAUCAUAAUGUGAAAGUUUGACCUCAAAGGGGUCACGACGCACAGGUUGAGAACCAUUGCUCUAGGGCGUUGUUCUGGCUAAGUUUGUAUCAAUUUGACACAAACUAGAGUCAUCCAGGAGAAGGAAUCUCAACUGAGGGAUUGCAUCCACAAACCUGGACCAUGGGCAAGUGUUUGCUGCAUUUUCUUGAUUGAUAAUUGAUGGGAGAGGGCUCAGCCCACUGUGACCAACCCUGGGCAGGUGGUCCUGGCUUGUGUAAGAAAGCGAGCUUGGGAACUAUUGGAGUUCCUGCCUCUGUUUCAUUCAACAAUGGACUGAAUACGCCAACUAAUGGAAGCAGGAUAAGUAAAUGUUCAACAAAGACAUGUUCCUAAGGAAAUCCCCUAUCCCUAGUUCCAGAUUGGUAGAAUAACUUGGUACAGAUGUUUGUGGAUUUUAGGCAUAAAACCCUGAAGGAUCUUCACUCGAUGUGAUCCUGCUAGAUCAGCUCAGAAACCUGAUCAACAAGUCUUGGGGCAUAUUGUAACCAGUGAGCCAAACCCUUCCGUCCCCAAAGCUGGUUUGGGUCUUAUGUUUAUCACAGCAUCAGGAAGCAAACUAGGACAGAGAGAGGGGGACACUCUUUUACAUGCUAGCAAAUGGCUAGCCAUGAAGUGGCUAGGUGAACAACCCAGGAGUGCAUAGCUAUCUAUCGAGCUGGGUUGAGAUUUGUUCUCAGUGUAGCUCACCUGCUGGCGUAUUCUCUGCUCUUCCCAGUUCUUCUAUACCAGUCCUUGUUCAUUCACUUAGAUCUCUGGUGCUUAAAUAUACAGGAGUUCUUAUUGGAGAAAAGAAGAGGCGACCCUGAGCCCAGGGAACCUGAGGGGCCCUGGCAUGUGGAGGAGGCUUGAGAGCCCCUCAAACCCUUCUGUAUCGGCCUUUACUUUCCUCCCAGCUGAGAUCUAGAAGGCAGGGUCCUGGAGGAGAGGCAUGCGCGUAUCGUGGAAACUGUCUUGUUUUGCAUGGCUGCAUGGCUGUAAUGAGGCUAAAUCUGGGGAAUUCAUUUUCUUGCUUUUCUUUUGAGGGGUUUUGUUUGUUUGUUUGUUUGGUUGGUUGGUUGGUUUUUUGAGACAAGGUUUCUCUGUAUAGCCCUGGCUGUCCUGGUGCUCAAUCUGGUAGCCCACCUGGCCUCAAAUUCACAGAGAUCCGCCUGCCUCUGCCUCCCGGAGUUCUGAGAUUGAAGGUCCAGCUGAGCUUCCUUUAAGAUUUAUUUUCUAUUAUUUUUUUUCUCUUUUUUUCGGAGCUGGGGACUGAACCCAGGGCCUUGCGGUUGCUAGGCAAGCGCUCUACCACUGAGCUAAAUCCCCAACCCCAUUUUCUAUUAUUUUUAACCAUACGUCUGAUCUAUGCAAAUGCCAGAGGAAGACAGAAGCAUCAGGUCCUUUGGAACUGGAGUUACAAGCAGUUGUAAGCCGCUCAGUGUGGGUCCUCUUCAAGGGCAGUGCAUUCUCUUAACCAUUGGGAUAUCCCCCCAGCUGCAGCUUGUCCUCUUUGCAAUUGAAUCUUUUUUGGGUAGCCCACGCUGGCCCAGAACUCUUGAUCUUCUCACCUCAGCCUCAGCUAAGAUUACAGGUACGUGUCGUUGUGCUGAGUAGAGGAUCCUGCUCUGCAGUAUGUUGUCAUCCCUGCGUCCAGGUGUCUCUGGAUCUUGACUCUAGUACAUGGCUGCAGGGGCCUUGGCACUCUCGUUAACUCCGCAAAGGGAAGUGUCAGAGGUGAAAAGGACACAACAGAGAGAACUUCUUGGCUUUUUGGAUUUCUAUUCUAGGAUAUUUCCUGGAGGAAUUUCUGUGAUGCUAGCAAUGGGCUACGUUCUAUUAAAAACAGAAUAUAAAACACAUUUGUAUUUGUGUAUGUGUGUGUGUGUGUGUGUGUGUGUGUGUGUGUGUGUGUGUGUGUAUGUAUGUGUGUGUGGUCUGUGUGUCUGUGUUUGUGAGUGUGUAUGUGUCUAUGUUUGUAUGUGAGUGUGUGUGUGUGCAUAGUGUAUGUGUGUAGAGGCCAGGUCUACAUGAGGUGCCUUUCACUACCAUUCUCUAAAGGAACCUGGUGCUCACUGAUUGGCUACACAGGCCAGGCAAGCGCUGUAUAGUCUCUGCAUUCCAACACUAGGGCUAUACGCACAUGUAUAGCCAUGGCCGUAGCUAGGUUUUAGGUAGAUACUAGGGAUCUAAAUGUGGGUGCUGGGGCCUCAUGUUUCUUUACCAGGCACUUUUCCCACAGAGCCCUUGCUCCAGUCCUGUGUACAUAUGACUCCUAAAAACUCAGGGUGAAACAAACCUUUCAAGCAAUGGUUCUCAACCUGUGGGUCAAACAAACACUUUUUUUUUUUCUUUUCUUUUUUUUCGGAGCUGGGGACCGAACCCAGGGCCUUGCGCUUGCUAGGCAAGCGCUCUACCACUGAGCUAAAUCCCCAACCCCAAACAAACACUUUUAUAGGGAAUCACUUGUCAGAUUUCCUGCAUACCAGAUAUUUAUAUUACAUUCAUAACAGUGGCAAAAUUGGGGGGGUGGAGAGAUGGCUCAGUGGUUAAAAGCAGUGACUGCUCUUCCAGAGAUCCUGAGUUCAAUUCCCAGCAACCACAUGGUGGCUCACAACCAUCUGUAAAGAGAUCAGAUGCCCCUCUUCUGAUGUGUCUGAAGACAGCAACAGCGUAUUCAAAUAUAUAAAUAAAUAAAUCUGAACAGUGGCAAAAUUAUAAUUAUAAAAUAGGAAUGAAAAUAAAUGUGUUGUUGGGGGGGUCACAUGAGGAGUCGUAUUAAGGAGUUGCAGCAUUAGGAAGGUUGAGAACCACUGCUUUAGAGAAACAGAAAGGACUUAGGGUGCAGACGUUGUAAGUGACAGAAAGUGUGGGAAGGGAAACUGAGGCCAAAGGUGGUUAGUGUUAUAUGCAGAGAAGGUCAGAGCAAAACAAACAACAAAAAAAUAAUAAAAAAGCACAGUGGGUCUCUCUUCUCAGUCUCUCUCUUGGUAAACACCAGUGUAGUGGGUGGUGAGAGUUUAGUUGUUAGUGUGGUCCCCUGGACAUUUAGCAGGAAUGACUCCAUGUUGACUUUUAGCUGGGUUGGGGUAGCCAUGUGCACUGUGAGUACAAUGGCUCUCUGUGACGUGUUUUAAAACACCUGUGUAUAUCUGUCUUUUAAAUCCUGGCGGUGAUGUCAUUUGUAUCCAUCUUUGUGUUUCUUGCUUUAGCACAACACAAUGGCGCUAAAAUCUAGGACUCUGAGCCACCCCCUCACUUCCUUCGUUAGUGGGGGUGCCUUGGGAUAUUCUCUCCCACAGACUUCCUCUCUUCUCUGACACCCAGAGUCUCUUGGCAAUCACUGUCUUCUGGAUGGAGAGCCUGUGCCGAAAGAUGCCUCUGUUGACUGUCUCUCACAGCCCCUGGGCAGGUUCCAGCUACCAAAGACCCAUCUUCACAGGAUUCUGCUGAGCUCAGCAUUGUGCAGGAGAAGGAUCUAUGACAGGGGAGUCAUGGGUGGAAGCCAGAGCUCCGGAACAACCUGCAAAGAUGUAUCGCAAACGGGGUUGGGGAUUUAGCUCAGUGGUAGAGCGCUUGCCUAGGAAGCGCAAGGCCCUGGGUUCGGUCCCCAGCUCUGAAAAAAAAAAAGAACCAAAAAAAAAAAAAAAAAAAAGAUGUAUCGCAAACACAGGCAUAGAGUUAGAAGACUUCAUAGCCCUGCUCAUACAAGCCAGAGUGACAAAGGAUUCAUGCCCAAUGACUAUGCAAGAGCAAAGCUGGCUGCUAAAAGCAUGUUGUCACUUACUGCUGUCACUAGGGCAAGGCCCCACCUCCUUUAGUUACUAUCUAACCUUUUACAUGUUUUACCUUGAGACAGAAUGUCAUGUAGCCCAGGUUGACCUCGAUUCACUAUGUAGCCAAAGCUAGCCUACAAUGUAUUCUUCUGUUUUCACUUCCUCAUGCUGCCACACCCAGUUUUUAUGCAGUACUGGGGAUUGAACCUGGGUGCUAUACAUGCCAGGCAAGGACUCUGCUAACUGAUCUACAGUUCCAGCCCCAGGACUUCUUCCCCCAAUAACAGGGUCUUAUUCAUCCCAGGAUGGCCUUGAACUCACUGAGGAUGACCUUGAACUUCUGAUCCUCCAGCUUCUAUCUACUUCCUAAGUGCUGGGACUUCCGGCGUGUGCCACCAAGUGUGGUUUUGUGACUUCCCUUUGAAAUGCAUACAGCAUCUACCUCACCCCACUACUGUGGGUUUCAACAAGAAAAUAACUUCAUGUGGAACUAGAAAGGAUAAUCUGAAUCAAGACCACAGCAGAUUUGUUUCCUGUAAUUAUGACAUUAAGACAUUAGUCCCAUCUCCGGACAUGUGCCUGUUAGCUCUGUAGAAAUCCCUCUGAUGAAAAGACAUCUUGAUGCAGGUAUUCUAUCUGUUUUGGCGUGUCUUGUCUUCAAAGGUUUCAAUCACCUUUUCUAAUGUCUUCAAGCCUCUGACUUUUUCUUCAAUCAUUCACUUGAUGCACGCACAUUUGCUCGCUGGUUCAGGCCCACCGAGCAUCCAUGCAGAAGAACAUCACUACCCCAGACUCUAGACCCCACUGGGUACUCAAUAAGGGGCCCCCCAAAAGAAGCCCAGGCCAGCGUGGCUCAAAGUUCAAUCCUCCAAAGAGCCAAAGGCCUGGCUUCACCCAUCAGACCCUGAGGUGAUUAUGCUUGAGUUCUGUGCUCGUCACAGAGUGGCGAGUAGGGGCUGGAGUCAGACCUGGAGCCUAGGCUACGCUCAGGGCCAGUGAUAAGGGACAAAGUCAGAGGACUUGGGGAUGGACACAGUGGGGAGGUGCAGUGUUAGUGACUCCCUGUUGCACACGUCGUCGGUAUGGUUGGUAAAUCUGCCUGGCCUAGACACUGACAUCGAGGCCCACCUCACUCUAUCCUGGAUCCUACUGAUCCUUAAAGUUUUUUGUUUUUGUUUUUGUUUUUUUUCCCACGUCUCUUGCAGCCUCAUGGCUAGAAUUUCCAAAGGGAUUCUCACUGCUUUGAGAAUAAUGGGAAAGCUGGGGUGUCUCAGGUUCCUGUCAUCGUCUCUCCUGCCCUGGAUGGCACGGGUCGGGGGAGAUUUGGCUCCUGGUACUCAGCCCCUUUCUGUUCAGCCUGCUCUGCAGUUUCCUCACCUCCCCUGGAGUUGGACUUAUAGGCAGCUGUGAACCACUUGGUGCUGGGAGUCAAUCUCUGGUCCUCUACAAGAUCAGUCCCUGUUCUUAACUGCUAAGCUACCUCUCCAGCCCCCUGCAGGGUAUUUUCCUAACGUUCUUAUUCCAUUUUUAUCCUGAAGACCCCCACCCCACCCCUACACCCUGGGAAGGGGGUUACUCAGGAGGCAGGAGGCAGUCCUGUCCCCUCUUACCUAGUUUCCAACUUUUGGACGGGUGACAGCAUGUUUGGCCUUUAGUGCUGAGUCACCUACUGGGGCUUUUUUUUUUUUUUUUUGGUUCUUUUUUUUCCGGAGCUGGGGAUCGAACCCAGGGCCUUGUGCUCCUACUGGGGCUUUUGUCAGGCCCUAGCUAUCUCUGAAGGGCCUGUUGGGUUUCAAGGCUUUUCAUUUCUCCAAUAGCAGUCUUUGUUGAUGAAGCAGAAACUGGGAGAGGCCAGGCCCUGGGAAUUGGGAGCUGGCCUGCUUGUCCUCCUCCACCUCUCCAUUCCUGAGGGCCCUACCUGGACAGAACUCUGAGAGGUGAGACGUGUAGAAGGGCAACUCCGAGGAGGUCCACGGUGUAGACUUUUGUGGGGCUGAGUAUGUGUGCCUUUACCUUUAGGGGAAGGAGUCCCUGCUUGUGUCAAACCACACCCUCCAUCCAUGUGAGGGCAACGUGUGAGGCUGUCUUGAUCCCUUCACUUGGUGAUUCUAAUCUGGGUUAAGCUAUUCUUGUAAGCCUGGACCCCUGGACACGUGGGAGGUCACCAGCUGGUUUGGACCCCACCUGACUCAUCUCUGUCUCUCCUUCAGCCUUUCUUCUCCUAGCCUCUUACUUCCUUGAGUCCCUUGAGUUCCUUGUGUCCCUGAAUCUCUGACCCCGAGACCUGAAUAUCUCCCCAACUGUCUUUGCAUAGAACCAUUAGCUGCUGGUGACUUUGAGGUAGGGUCUGCCGAUUUCUCCGAUCACUCU